rnacentral:rRNA from 1 species
AAAGCCUGAUCCAGCCAUGCCGCGUGUGUGAAGAAGGUCUUCGGAUUGUAAAGCACUUUAAGUUGGGAGGAAGGGCUGCAAGUUAAUACCUUGUAGUUUUGACGGUACCUAGAGAAGAAGCCCCGGCUAACUUCGUGCCAGCAGCCGCGGUAAUACGAAGGGGGCUAGCGUUGUUCGGAAUUACUGGGCGUAAAGCGCACGUAGGCGGACAUUUAAGUCAGAGGUGAAAUCCCAGGGCUCAACCCUGGAACUGCCUUUGAUACUGGGUGUCUUGAGUACGAGAGAGGUGAGUGGAAUUCCGAGUGUAGAGGUGAAAUUCGUAGAUAUUCGGAAGAACACCAGUGGCGAAGGCGGCUCACUGGCUCGUAACUGACGCUGAGGUGCGAAAGCGUGGGGAGCAAACA